AUUGAACGCUGGCGGUAUGCUUAAGACAUGCAAGUCGAACGGUAACAGGUUAAGCUGACGAGUGGCGGACGAGUGAGUAACGCGUGGGAAUCUACCUUGUAGUGGGGGAUAAGCCAGGGAAACUUGGACUAAUACCGCAUACGCCCUAAGGGGGAAAGGCGCAAGUCGCUAUAAGAUGAGCCCGCGUCUGAUUAGGUAGUUGGUGGGGUAAAGGCCUACCAAGCCGACGAUCAGUAGCUGGUCUGAGAGGAUGAUCAGCCACGUCGGGACUGAGACACGGCCCGGACUCCUACGGGAGGCAGCAGUAAGGAAUAUUGGACAAUGGCCGCAAGGCUGAUCCAGCCAUGCCGCGUGAAGGAUGAAGGUGCUAUGCAUUGUAAACUUCUUUUGUCCCGGAAUAAACCCCUGAUUUCUAUCGGGGCUGAAUGUACGGGAAGAAUAAGGGACGGCUAACUUCGU
rnacentral:rRNA from 1 species